UUUUGAACGUCUGGACGGUGCGGAGUGCAAAAAGUACAUACACAUCGCCCCCUACAAUCACAAUUUGAUUUUUCAAAAAAAAAAAAUAAUAAUAAUAAAAUAUUCACAAACCGGAUUAUAAAACUUCCCUUAUCUUACAAUAAAUAAAAAAGAAAUAGAAAACGUAGAAAUCGAACGUCGUCCUCACCAACCACAGAAUACAGUCAUCAUCAUCAAUUUAGAAAGCUGAUUUUUUUCUUCUUCGUGCAAUUUAAUUUACGUGAACGAUAAUAAUUUGUGUUUGUUCAAUUUUAAAAUCGUUUAUAACACAACCUUGACCUCCUGCAAGCGAAACAUAACCUCAAAAAUUGCGUUCUCAAUUUUAAAAAGGGGAUGGAGUAUCGUUUUAACACUUUUUUGAGAACCUGAAAAGAUUAUAAUGACGAAGUUGGAAAUUGAUUUUAACAUCGUCUACAACAGCUGGAACAAUUGUGGUGGUCAUCGUAAGUGGCGUAAGUGG